rnacentral:rRNA from 1 species
GACCCGUCUUGAAACACGGACCAAGGAGACUAACAUGUGUGCGAGUCAUUGGGCUGACUAAACCUAANGGCGCAGUGAANGCAAAGGCUGCUUAGCAGCUCAGGGACGAUCCCGCAAGGGCGCAAUCCCGGCGCUUCGCAUCGACCUCGUUUCGNGCGGAGCAGCAAGAGCAUACACGUUGGGACCCGAAAGAUGGUGAACUAUGCCUGGCCAGUUUGAAGUCAGGGGAAACCCUGACGGAGGACCGUAGCGAUUCUGACGUGCAAAUCGAUCGUCGGAGCUGGGUAUAGGGGCGAAAGACUAAUCGANCCAUCUAGUAGCUGGUUCCUUCCGAAGUUUCCCUCAGGAUAGCUGGUGCUCGCAAUCGAGUUUCAUCCGGUAAAGCGAAUGAUUAGAAGCCUUGGGGACAAAACGUCNUCAACUUAUUCUCAAACUUUAAAUGGGUAAGAAGCGUGNCUUGCCUGAGUGAAGCCGCNCNACGAAUCGGAGUGCCUAGUGGGCCANNUNUGGUAAGCAGANCUGGCGAUGUGGGAUGANCCAAACAUUUGGUUAAGGUGCCAAANUUUACGCUCAUGAGAAGCCGCNAAAGGUGUUGGUUGAUAAAUUCAGCAGGCCGGUGNNCAUGNAAGUNGUCAUCCGNUAAGGAGUGUGU